ACGUAACGCUUGCGACGUGCCUAAGAAAUGCAAGUCGAACGGGGGGACUUCGGUCCCCUAGUGGCGAACGGUCGCGUAACACGUGGGCAAACCUGCCCCAGAGUGUGGGACAACAGCUCGAAAGGGCUGCUAAUACCGCAUGUGGAGGGAGAGGGCAUCCUCUCUUGUCCAAAGGAUUUAUUCGCUCUGGGAUGGGCCCGCGGCCUAUCAGCUAGUUGGUGGGGUAACGGCCUACCAAGGCUUCGACGGGUAGCUGGUCUGAGAGGACGAUCAGCCGGAUUGGGACUGAGACACGGCCAGACUCCUACGGGGGGCAGCAAUUAGGAAUCUUGCGCAAUGGGGGCAACCCUGACGCAGCGACGUCGCGUGGAGGAUGAAAUCUUUCGGGAUGUAAACUCCUUUUAUACGGGGAAGAAAAAAAAUGACGGUACCCGUUGAAUAAGCCCCGGCUAACUACGUGCCAGCAGCCGCUGGUAAUACGUAGGGGGCGAGCGUUGUCCGAAGUUACUGGGCGUAAAGAGCGCGUAGGCGGGCUCUUAAGUGAGAGGUGAAAGGUUCGGGCUCAACCCGGAGAGUGCCUUUCAUACUGGGAGCCUUGAGUGCGGGAGAGGCAAGUGGAAUGGUCGGUGUAGCGGUGAAAUGCGUAGAUAUCGAUCGGAACACCCGUGGCGAAGGCGGCUUGCUGGCUCGCAACUGACGCUGAGGCGCGAAAGCGUGUGGGAGCAAAACAGGAUUAGAUACCCUGGUAGUCCACGCCGUAAACGAUGAGUGCUAGGUGUCAGGGGUAUCGACCCCCCUGGUGCCGCAGCUAACGCAAUAAAGCACUCCGCCUGGGGAGUACGGCCGCAAGGUUGAAACUCAAGGAAUUGACGGGGGCCCGCACAAGCGGUGGAGCAUGUGCAUUAAUUCGUCACUAACCGAAGAACCUUACCAGGGUUUGACAUCCUCUGACAUGCCAUGAAGAGGUCCUUCCCCGCAAGGGGACAGAGAGACAGGUGUUGCAUGGUUGUCGUCAUGCUCGUGUCGUGAGAUGUUGGGUUAAGUCCCGCAACGAGCGCAACCCUCACCCAAUGUUGCCAGCGUCAAGUCGGGCACUCUUUGGGAACUGCCCGUGUAAGCGGGAGGAAGGUGGGGAUGACGUCAAAUCGGCAUGGCCCUUACAUCCUGGGCUUGACACAUGCUACAAUGGCCGUUGAACAAAGGGAAGCGAUCCCGCGAGGGGGAGCCAAUCUCAAAAUAUACGGUCUCAGUUCAGAUUGCAGGCUGCAACUCGCCUGCAUGAAGUCGGAAUCGCUAGUAACCGCAGGUCAGCGAAACUGCGGUGAAUACGUUCCCGGGCCUUGUACACACUGCCCGUCAAGUCACCUGAGUUGUCUGCAGCCGAAGCCGGUGGCCUAACCGCAAGGGGGGAGCCGUCUAAGCUGUGGGGAGCGAGGGGGACU
rnacentral:rRNA from 1 species